rnacentral:lncRNA from 1 species
UAUAGUUAAGAGUAUAAAUAUAUGUUUUGUUUAAUCAGACCAUGCAAGAUCUUCUUGUAAAUGCUAUAAGUGAAGUGGAUCAUGAAGAACCCUAUGCUGCAGCUGAUAUAUGAAGCAUGGUAAAUGACACAUCCGUGAAAUUUCAGUUAGUCUCUUGCCUUUAACAAACUCCAUUCAUAAAAAAAGUGAGCAUCUAGAAAUAUCGUUAUAAGUAAUAACAUCUAGACUAUGAUAUUUUAUUAAUGAUGCAGGAAAGAUACAAGAUUCGAGGAUAAAUCUUUUUUUGGUCGGUGAGAUCUGAUGCAUGCAACGGAUAAUUAGGAGAAAUUUCCAUUAAUUUAAAAUUUUUCUUAUUAUGUGCUGCAUCAAGUCUCGCCGGCCAAGAAAAAAUUCAUCUUCGAAUCUUGUAUCUUCGCUGCAUUAAUUAAAUUAUUGAUAUAUAAAUUAGAACCAAAAAUAUUAAUUUGGGCCAUAUAUUAAUUUAUCAAGUAUUAAUAUUUAUAGAGAAUAUCUAUAUAGAUGGUAACCAAUAAAACUUGGAAAUUAUUUAAAUGAUCUUGAUUGCGAGAAGUACAAUGUAGAUGAUUUAUAUGUUGAAUGGUGGCUCUCUCACAGUCUUCUUGUAAUGUGCAAAGUGUAAAGCACAUUACAAAGGUGAAGGUGAGACUAUCAUUUCCCUGCCAAGUGAAUUGGAGAUAGUUCCUCCAAUGAAGAAGGAUGAUCGUGUGUGACAUUGGUGGUGAUUUAGUUGGCUGUACAUCAGGAUUCUGGACUUGGUCAUAUUAGCCAAGUUUGUGCAACCGUGAUAGUGUUCUUGUGAUGAAUAUAUUGUUUGUAAACCUAAAAUUUCUCUAUGGUUUACACAGAAACUUUUGAAUCUUUAUUAUAAUUCCAAUUUUGUGAUUUUUGUAACGUUUAA